GGCCCCGUGGCGCAACUGAAUAGCGCAUCAGAUUUCGGCUCUGAGGGUUGGGGGUUUGAAUCCCUCCGGGGUCACGA
rnacentral:tRNA from 5 species